GCAAGUAUCUGCGCCCCAGUGAGCAUGCCCUGGACACCUUAUAGGUAGAUAGGAGCGGACAUCAGGCACACCCUACCCCCGUAGCCCAAGACGUCUAGCAAUUGCCACGCCCCCACGGGUCCUCAGCAGUAGUUAACAUUAAGCCAUGAGUGAAAACUUGACUUAGCCAUAGCAAAUCAGGGACGGUAAAUCCUGUGCCAGCCACCGCGGUCACACAGGAGGCCCAAAUCAACGUUAUAACGGCGUAAAGCGUGGUACUAUGCUAUCCAAGUAACUAAGAUUAAAAAGCAACUGAGCUGUCGCAAGCCCAAGAUGCCCAUAAGGCCGCUAUUCAAAGAAAAUCUUAGACUAACGAUUGAUUGAAAUCCACGAAAGCCAGGGCCCAAACUGGGAUUAGAUACCCCACUAUGCCUGGCCGUAAAUCUUGAUGCUCGAUCUUACCGGAGCAUCCGCCCGAGAACUACGAGCACUAACGCUUAAAACUCUAAGGACUUGGCGGUGUCCCAAACCCACCUAGAGGAGCCUGUUCUGUAAUCGAUGAUCCACGAUACACCUGACCAUUCCUUGCCAAAAUCAGCCUACAUACCGCCGUCUCCAGCCCACCCAACAUGAAGGCCCAACAGUGGACGCAAUAGCCUUACCCCGCUAGUAAGACAGGUCAAGGUAUAGCCUAUGGAAUGGGAGUAAUGGGCUACAUUUUCUAAGAUAGAACAUUACGGCAAAGGGAUGUGAAAUCAUCCUUGGAAGGCGGAUUUAGCAGUAAAGUGGGACAAUCGAGCCCUCUUUAAGCCGGCCCUGGGGCACGUACAUACCGCCCGUCGCCCUCCUCAAAAGCGA
rnacentral:rRNA from 1 species